UACGUAGGGACCGAGCGUUGUCCGGAAUCACUGGGCGUAAAGGGCGCGUAGGCGGCUCAUGAAGGCUGUGGUGAAAGUCCGGGGCUCAACCUCGGAUCGGCCGUGGCGACUCGUGGGCUGGAGCACUGUAGAGGCGGGUGGAAUUCCGGGUGUAGCGGUGGAAUGCGUAGAGAUCCGGAAGAACACCAGUGGCGAAGGCGGCCCGCUGGGCAGUGGCUGACGCUGAGGCGCGACAGCGUGGGGAGCAAACAGG
rnacentral:rRNA from 1 species